CGCGUGCCUAUACAUGCAGUCGAGCGAAUGGAUAAGAGCUUGCUCUUAUGAAGUUAGCGGCGGACGGGUGAGUAACACGUGGGUAACCUGCCCAUAAGACUGGGAUAACUCCGGGAAACCGGGGCUAAUACCGGAUAACAUUUUGAACCGCAUGGUUCGAAAUUGAAAGGCGGCUUCGGCUGUCACUUAUGGAUGGACCCGCGUCGCAUUAGCUAGUUGGUGAGGUAACGGCUCACCAAGGCAACGAUGCGUAGCCGACCUGAGAGGGUGAUCGGCCACACUGGGACUGAGACACGGCCCAGACUCCUACGGGAGGCAGCAGUAGGGAAUCUUCCGCAAUGGACGAAAGUCUGACGGAGCAACGCCGCGUGAGUGAUGAAGGCUUUCGGGUCGUAAAACUCUGUUGUUAGGGAAGAACAAGUGCUAGUUGAAUAAGCUGGCACCUUGACGGUACCUAACCAGAAAGCCACGGCUAACUACGUGCCAGCAGCCGCGGUAAUACGUAGGUGGCAAGCGUUAUCCGGAAUUAUUGGGCGUAAAGCGCGCGCAGGUGGUUUCUUAAGUCUGAUGUGAAAGCCCACGGCUCAACCGUGGAGGGUCAUUGGAAACUGGGAGACUUGAGU
rnacentral:rRNA from 1 species